CCCUUAGAUGUCCUGGGCUGCACGCGCGCUACACUGAUGUGUCCAGUAAGCACCUAACCUAUUCCGAGAGGAGCGGGUAACCUUAGCAAAGCACAUCGUGAUGGGGAUAGAUUAUUGCAAUUAUUAGUCUUGAACGAGGAAUUCCUAGUAAGCACAAGUCAUCAGCUUGUGUUGAUUACGUCCCUGCUCUUUGUACACACCGCCCGUCGCACCUACCGAUUGAGAGCAUAGGUGAAAACUCAGGAUCUUAUCUCUUGGACCUUCGGGUACCUUUAGAUUAGAGAAUUUGUUUAAACCUCCGUUCUUAGAGGAAGGUGAAGUCGUAACA
rnacentral:rRNA from 1 species